rnacentral:misc_RNA from 1 species
GAUGAAGAACGUAGCAAAAUGCGAUAAGUAAUGUGAAUUGCAGAAUUCAGUGAAUCAUCGAAUCUUUGAACGCACAUUGCGCCCGCCAGUAUUCUGGCGGGCAUGCCUGUUCGAGCGUCAUUUCAACCCUCAAGCACAGCUUGGCGUUGGGACUCGCGUUAAUUCGCGUUCCCCAAAUUGAUUGGCGGUCACGUCGAGCUUCCAUAGCGUAGUAGUAAAACCCUCGUUACUGGUAAUCGUCGCGGCCACGCCGUUAAACCCCAACUUCUGAAUGUUGACCUCGGAUCAGGUAGGAAUACCCGCUGAACUUAAGCAUAUCAAUAAGCGGAGGA